rnacentral:lncRNA from 1 species
CCUCAAAGUAGCAUCUAUUUCUUUGUUUCCAAAUAUUCCAGGCUGCCAAUAUGAUGAUUUAUGUGAACAGGCGGUGUGGCCAGACUCUAGCAGCAGCAUCAAACACAAUAUCAGGAGAAGACAUAAUAUAAUUUCCCUUGUACCUUUGUUUCUCUCAAUUGAAAAGAAAUACCAAAAUCAAGGGAAGACGCAAUAUAACUUUUCACUAUCACAUAUUCAACAACAGUGGUGCCAAAACAAUAAUAUAUAGCUCAAAGAAAGAUUAAUUAAAUCAUGAGACAUCAACACAGUAUAGCAUGGAAACUAAUAAUAAAACUUAAAAGGUGCACGUAAUAUAUCAUAAUGUUCAAUUAAUAAGCACAUAUGUCAUGAAAUAGCAACAUAUUGCCCAUGCAUUUAUACAUUUCUUUAAUACUCGCACCACGGUCCUAAAAUAUGUUGUCCUCCCUCUUCUUGCUCCAAUGGAUAUGUUCUACAAAAAUAAUAGCAAUUAAAAUAGACAUGGCUGGAAACGUACAACUGGUACCGGUUUUCUAUAUUGGUAGUGAAACCACUAAAUAUUAUCCAAUAUAACUAAAAUCAUCAAAAUUAUGUUCUAAAAAUAAUUACUUUGUUAUUAUACCUUUCCGUCAUUGUGACUAUCCUUGGCGAAGACGGCGACUCCGACACUGGCUUCAUCGCUAUGGUGGAGAUCAAGGAUCCUCGCCUUUGGUGUGAUAGUUUUAGUAUAUCCUUGCAUGCAUCAUAUUAAGUC